UACGUAGGCAGCAAGCGUUGUUCGGAGUUACUGGGCGUAAAGAGUGCGUAGGCGGAUUCGUAAGUUUGGUGUGAAAUCUCCCGGCUUAACUGGGAGGGUGCGGCGAAAACUGCGUGGCUGGAGUGUGGGAGAGGCAAGCGGAAUUUCUGGUGUAGCGGUGAAAUGCGUAGAUAUCAGGAGGAACACCGGUGGUGAAGACGGCUUGCUGGACCAUGACUGACGCUUAGGCACGCAAGGGUGGGGAGCAAACAGG
rnacentral:rRNA from 1 species